rnacentral:rRNA from 1 species
CGGAGGCAGCAGUGAGGAAUAUUGGUCAAUGGGCGCAAGCCUGAACCAGCCAUGCCGCGUGAAGGAUGAAGGUUCUAUGGAUUGUAAACUUCUUUUAUUUGGGAAUAAACCUAUUUACGUGUAGAUAGCUGAAGGUACCAAAUGAAUAAGCACCGGCUAACUCCGUGCCAGCAGCCGCGGUAAUACGGAGGGUGCAAGCGUUAUCCGGAAUCAUUGGGUUUAAAGGGUCCGCGGGCGGAUUUAUAAGUCAGUGGUGAAAGCCUACAGCUUAACUGUAGAACUGCCAUUGAUACUGUAAGUCUUGAAUUUGGUCGAAGUGGGCGGAAUAUGACAUGUAGCGGUGAAAUGCAUAGAUAUGUCAUAGAACACCGAUAGCGAAGGCAGCUCACUAGGCCAACAUUGACGCUCAUGGACGAAAGCGUGGGGAGCAAACAGGAUUAGAAACCCCAGUAGUCCG